UACGGAGGGUGCAAACGUUACUCGGAAUCAUUGGGCGUAAAGCGCACGUAGGCGGCCGUGUAAGUCGGAUGUGAAAGCCCUGGGCUCAACCCAGGAAGUGCAUUCGAAACUGCACGGCUUGAAUAUGGAAGAGGGUCGCGGAAUUCCCGGUGUAGAGGUGAAAUUCGUAGAUAUCGGGAGGAACACCAGUGGCGAAGGCGGUCUGCUGGGCAGUUUCUGACACUGAGGCGCGACAGCGUGGGGAGCAAACAGG
rnacentral:rRNA from 1 species